CUCAUGACGUAUUUCAUAGCCCCG
rnacentral:miRNA from 1 species